GUGUGCCCUUCAGGAGCAGACAGGCAGGAAGAGACAAAGGAGGAGAUCCGGGGGCAGGAAGUGGAACCCAACUCCUUGAGAGGGGAAAAAAAUCAAGUCACUCCCCUCUAUACGUGACUAACCAGACAAGAGGGAAGAGAAGGGGAGAGAAGAGGCUGCUAAGAUUCUUUCACUUCUUCAAAGGAGGAGAGAUCUGUUGAGCAAAAAGUAACAGACUGCACACUCCCAGUGAGAGACACGCAUGGUGUAUUUCAAUGGAGUUAAAAGUUACUGAUCCAUGAGAGGA